rnacentral:misc_RNA from 1 species
GAAAUGCGAUACGUAAUGUGAAUUGCAGGAUUCAGUGAAUCAUCAAAACCUUGAACGCAAAUGGUGCUGUAGCGGUUUACCGCGACAGCAUGCCUGUUUGAGUGUCAGUUAACCCUUAUCAAAAGAAAAACCUCAUUCUUUCUUCGCGGAGAGAUGGUGUGUUUUUACUUUUGGAGAGUGACGGUCUGCAAGGCGGGGGCGCGUCGUCAAAAAGCGCGACCCAACGUUGCAUCCGUUGAAACUGAGUGGCAGAAACUGUUGUCCCACCCAGGUGCUAUGGGUCCUCGCGACCCACGGACACACUGGGGGCGUCCACACAAACACAACAUGGUGUAGUAGGUGUUCUUAAUACACAAAUCUUCGCCAGGUUGGUGGGCGGCCAAACUUUGCUUUUGGGCAAAUGCAGUUGCCGGUUUACAGGAAAGUGGGGGAAAACAGGAAGGAAAGGGAAGGAGGUACACACCUCCCUCUCUCUCCCGCCUCACCCCCCCGCACCUCUUAACCAAUGACCUCAAAUCAGACAAGACUACCCGCUGAAUUUAAGC